AGUGAACGCUGGCGGUAGGCCUAACACAUGCAAGUCGAACGGCAGCACAGUAAGAGCUUGCUCUUACGGGUGGCGAGUGGCGGACGGGUGAGGAAUACAUCGGAAUCUACUUUUUCGUGGGGGAUAACGUAGGGAAACUUACGCUAAUACCGCAUACGACCUACGGGUGAAAGCAGGGGAUCUUCGGACCUUGCGCGAUUGAAUGAGCCGAUGUCGGAUUAGCUAGUUGGCGGGGUAAAGGCCCACCAAGGCGACGAUCCGUAGCUGGUCUGAGAGGAUGAUCAGCCACACUGGAACUGGGACACGGUCCAGACUCCUACGGGAGGCAGCAGUGGGGAAUAUUGGACAAUGGGCGCAAGCCUGAUCCAGCCAUACCGCGUGGGUGAGGAAGGCCUUCGGGUUGUAAAGCCCUUUUGUUGGGAAAGAAAAGCAGCAGGUUAAUACCCCGCUGUUCUGACGGUACCCAAAGAAUAAGCACCGGCUAACUUCGUG
rnacentral:rRNA from 1 species